GACAGAGGGUGCAAACGUUGCUCGGAAUCACUGGGCGUAAAGAGCGUGUAGGCGGCUUCACAGGUCCGCUGUGAAAACUCGGAGGCUCAACCUCGAGAUGUCGGUGGAAACCGUGUGGCUAGAGUCCGGAAGAGGAGAGUGGAAUUCCCGGUGUAGCGGUGAAAUGCGCAGAUAUCGGGAAGAACACCCGUGGCGAAGGCGGCUCUCUGGGACGGUACUGACGCUGAGACGCGAAAGCGUGGGGAGCGAACAGG
rnacentral:rRNA from 1 species